GAGGGUGUAGCUCAGUGGCAGGGUGCAGGCUUAGUAUGCAUGAGGUCCUGGGUUCAAUCCCAGUACCUCCA
rnacentral:tRNA from 1 species